ACUGCCAGUGGCAAUCUUUCUCCAUCUUUAAUUUCAGCAUCUCCCAUUGCUUUUAGGUUGGCCUGCUGGACUUCUGAGUGCUUGGCCCAAAUUAUCUUUCCAUUGGCAUCCAUGGACAUGGCAGGUUCCUCCCGCCCAAGCUGGAAGAGUGACAAACGAAAUGAAAAGAGUGAAGUUUGGUGAUGAAGAGCCCAGCUGCCACACCUUCAGAGAGCAACAGCCAGUUUAGUAGAGAGCUUCGUUUUCAGAAGGCAGAUCCAUCACACUUCUGACAUGCAACAUACAAUGCCAAAGCCCAGGAGAGAAAAGCUAAGAAGCUUUCAUUUUUUUCCCCACCUAUCUGUUUUAGUUCCUUCUCAUUUUACUUGACUUUCCAAUAAUCAAGGCAGAAUCACUGUGAAGUUCUCUGAAAACGGCAAUCUCCAGGCUUUAUCCUGAGAUUAUGAAUACGUACAGUUGAUCUACAGUGAAGCCCAAGGAUCUAGAUGUUUAACACUGAGAAACAUUACUCUAAGGGCAGAUAAUGAUUCUGUGGGAGAUUUAAUACAAAGCUAAUGAAAGUGGAUUUAGUAAAGUGUACUGAAAGGAAAAAAUUACUGAUUAAAAAAUUUAAAGUACAGAAAAUUAGUCAAAAGUUACAGGACUGAGCUUUAUCUUUAUAAAUAUUUUACUGGUUGUCUACUGUAUGGAAGGCCCUGAGGAGAGUUUAAAGCUAUGUAAACAAAUAUUUACCACUUACUUGUAUGUGACAAACUUUACUUAAGCCAAAGGUAAUUUUUGUUCCACCAAAAGGGUAAAAAAAGUAAAGUUAAACCCUAAAAUAUUCAGAUGUGUACAGUUUAUAUAAAUUAAAGGAAAACCAGUAAAUAUGUUAUAUGAAAUUAAAUGCGUAAGCAAAGAUUAAUCUGAUUUUAUAUCUAUGCUUAUGGAGAUUUUAAAUAUAAUGGCAAAAGAAUGACUAUACUCACUGCAAUGUGCAUUAAGCAUCUAGUGCAAGCAAAACAUUGUGUUGUUUGCUGUUGAAUGCCUAUUUGGGAGAAGGGGAAAACAUGCAGUUCCUUCCCCAAGUGUCUAGUAUUUCAGAGGAUAAAGAGUUCCAAAAACAUUAAUUAUGACUCUAUGUGAGAAAGGUAUUAAUAGAAGCAAAAGGAAUGGAAUGAGCAUCCACAGCUGAAGUGGAUGCCUUUACAAGAGCUUCUCAGAGUUAAGUAUUUGUGGCAAGCCUUGAAAUCUGUGUUGUCUAGAGGAAUAUAAAUCAAAAAGGGAGAGUAAAGAAACUUCAAGGUGAGGGGAAGAGUUGGUUAAGGGAAGGUUCCAGAAUGGUGAGGAGACAAGGGUUACAGAUGUCUUAUAACAUUAGUGCAGGUUAGCCUUGGCACUCCUAAGGCACUUGGACUUUACACUCACAUUGAGAACUGGUAAGACGAAAUCUAUUGUUGGGAAAAAUACUGGUUGCAGUAUGGGUAACAGAGUAAGAAAGGGAAAAUGGAAGCAAAGAAUUCCAGUGUGAAAUUGAUUAAUAAUGAGUUGAGGUCAACAACGAAUAUACUAAGGAGAGUAAAGUAAUAGCCUAAAGAAGAUCACAUCAUUUUUCUUAUUCCGGGUUCCUGAAGGCAAAAAAA